rnacentral:misc_RNA from 1 species
GAAAUGCGAUAAGUAAUGUGAAUUGCAGAAUUCAGUGAAUCAUCGAAUCUUUGAACGCACAUUGCGCUCGCCAGUAUUCUGGCGAGCAUGCCUGUUCGAGCGUCAUUUCAACCAUCAAGCUCUGCUUGCGUUGGGGAUCCGCGGCUGCCCGCGGUCCCUCAAAAACAGUGGCGGGCUCGCUAGUCACACCGAGCGUAGUAACUCUACAUCGCUAUGGUCGUGCGGCGGGUUCUUGCCGUAAAACCCCAAUUUCUAAGGUUGACCUCGGAUCAGGUAGGAAUACCCGCUGAACUUAAGC